AUCACAGAGAGGCCCGGGCCCUCGCCUCCUAGAGCGACGCCGGAAGGGACGGGGCCAGAGGCGGGCCCUUCCGGCCGGCGCAUGGGCUGGGUUGCUCGGCUGUGCAGCUUCACGGCGCUGGGCAGCUGGGGUGUGGCGGGGCUUGGGGACGAGGCGUCCCUCCCGGCCCGGGGACCCUGUUAGGGGCGCGCCCGCCCCAGCCUCCAUGCAGGAAUUCACUGGGUCCCUCUGGCGUCGCGUGGGCCCCCUGUCCAGAGCAACGGCACUCCUUUCUAGGCUCCUGGGCGCCGCGGGGAGGAGGGCGAGGCUCGAAGACCAGCUCCGUGCGGAUCGAGGUGGAGUCCUCGGGCCCAAGGCUGGCGAGGCUCUGUCAGGCGACGCCCUCUCCUUGGCCUCGACACCGCUGCGGGCCCACACACUGCUUGGGUGCAUGUUUGCCCUUGGAUCUCCCACCACUAGUAAUCCAGUCUCUCCCUUAGACCCCGGCUUCUGAGGACAAGUGAGGUUACCACGGAGUAUCCUGCUGCAGAGGGAUACCCAAAGCUUCAUGUUACAAGAGUCCUGGCACAGAGAGUGAAGGAGCUACACUGGAGUCGCACAGCAGGUACCAGCACCCCGGCCUUUAGGCCAGGGUUCUCGUCUGCUCUGGCAAGGUGGACUGAGUUUUCUGCGUGGCUGUAGCAGUCAUCAGGCCUACAGGCCUGUGAAAUGAAAAGACCAAGACAAUGACCUCAGGUCUACACCGCUUUUAAUAAUUAAAUAUUUUAUUCCUUGGUGUGCACGGGACUUAGAGAAGUGAGUACGUCCAGUCUCUGCCAUUAAGCACCUGCCAGCUUGAGGUAGGCAGACAAGACGAUUAUCUAGAAUGUUUCCUGAGCAGCAGUAUGUGCAGGCUACAGCCAAGUAACUAGGGAUUCAAGGAUGAAAAAGACACGAUCCUUGCCCUGAAGAGCCCUCGCCUCGUCGGGAGACUGCCACAUCAGUGACAAGCCACACGUGGAGUGACAGGAGUCCUGGUGGGGGAACAGUUCUUGGAGCACAGCCGGCAGUUGUCAGGCUCAGUGGGUUCAAGGACCACCGCUCUCCAUCAAGUGGGUCAGCACAGAGCCAAGCUGAGUUUACGCCUUCCCUGGAGAGCCGUGGGCUAGAGGCCUCAGAAGGGUUGUUGGUGCUCUUCUCUUUGUUGGAGAGUUUCUGUUCCAGAACUGCAGUUACCAGCUUGGAAAAAUACAGUGUUGUGUCUAAAGCAAGACCUUUCUGAAGAAGUGGAGUUACAAGGAAAUUCGUAAGGCUGGAGAAUCUUGCUGCUGGUCGUUCUCCUUGGCCCUUGCUGGCUUCCAGUGGUCCUUCCUCUCUCCUGGGGACAAGAAGGAUGGAAAAGCCCACAGGCAAAAAAAAGAAGGCACAGACCCCAGAGGAAGAAGUACAUGUUCAGAAGGACACUCCCAAGGAAGAUAAAGCAUCUAGGAAAAAGAAGCCAAACCAGAGAUCCACUUUGGCCAAAAAGCACAGUAAGGAACCCAGCCUGAGUCGUGAGGACGAGGAACACAUGUUUGAGGCCUUCAGUGCUACAUUUAAAGAUGACUUUGAGGGGGUUCCUGUGUUCACUCCCUUCCAGAGGAAGAAGCCCUACGAAUGCAGCGAAUGUGGGCGCGUCUUUAAGCACAAGACAGAUCACGUUCGCCACCAGAGAGUCCAUACUGGAGAGAAGCCCUUCCAGUGUGCCCAGUGCGGGAAGACAUUCAGGCACAGCUCCGACGUGACCAAGCACCGGAGGAUUCACACCGGAGAAAAGCCCUUUAAAUGCAGUGAGUGCGGCAAAGCCUUUAACUGUGGUUCAAAUCUCCUACAACAUCAGAAAACCCACACUGGAGAGAAGCCGUACGAAUGUAAGGAAUGUGGGAAAACCUUUGCCUACAGCUCAUGUCUUAUUCGCCAUCGGAAACGUCACCCACGGAAGAAGCACUGAGCGUGGGGAAGCCAUCCAGACUCAGAGCUUUGUGCCCACGAAAACUGUCCGGGCAGGCCUGCCUGGGGCUCCUCCUCCCCUGGCGUCUGAUUGGGCUGGGGGUCCUGCCGUCACCAGGAAAACCGCCCCAGCCAGGUCAGCAAACACCGGUGUGGCCAGAGACCUUUCUGGUCUAGAGAAUCUCCAGGGCAAGACAUCAUGGUAACAAGGCAGCUCCUCGCAGCUGUGGCACCAGGGAGGUGAGUGUACAAACUGCUGUCCAGGGGACAGGCUUCAGACCCGAGCACGGUCAGCACCUCCCACUGCCACCUCCGCCUGUGACUCCCAUGCUGGCUUCGGCCCUCCCACCGGCUCCUUUGAAGACUGUGCUGCAGACCUUUGGCCCACUGGGUCCCAAGUCCAUCUCCAUGCAGCCCGGCAGGAGGCCUGUGGCCCUGGGCUGGAUGGCAGUGCUUCCGCAGUGAGCACUGGGGAUCCCAGUGUCCCCCUGGCUGGCUGUGGUGGUGGUGCUGUGCUUUGUCCUCUGCCUUCCCUCCUCUCUGGAGAACCAUUCCUUGAACUUGGCCCCUGCUCCCAGGAACUGGGCUCCCUGUGUGUCCUCCCACAUCAGCCAUCAUCCCAGCUGAGCAGCCUUGACUUACCAGGUGGACCACUCAGGACACUAAAUGCUACCACUGUGGGAGCUUCCUGCCCUGGCCACGUGAGGCCCCGGGAUGUUGACGGCAGCUUGGAUGCAGCCUUUGCCUGCCAUGCGGCCUUUCAGACACGAGACGGUGGGCCUGCCCCCCAGGGCCAGCUCUCCGUUCAGGUAUUUCUGCCCUUUUUCGGCUGUGAAAGCAGAUCCGCCCCAAAGCAAGAAGUUCCUGGUGAAAUAUGCGUAAAAAAAGAACCUCAAAACUAGCAAAACUUCCACAUUCCUGAGCUCCAGGGAGGAACAGAGAUCAAGAAGGAAGGGAAGAGAAAGGCCGUGGACCCCUGCCCCGAGCUCGGAGUUCACUGCCUCCUGGCUGCUUGCGCACAAACUCCAGCCACCUGUCAGCAAAGCCGGAAGCCGGAGGUCCUCCCCUUGACCAGAGCCCCUACAGGAUCCAGGCCCAGCCACAGGGCGAGGCUGACGCUGCGGACUCCACGGACGGGGAUUUCCAAGGCCUGAGGACAGCCGUCCCUCGGGGUGAGCUCCCGGCGCCCCAGCCCCACUGCCCACAGCGAUCUCGGCACUGGGCAGCCCUGGUGUCGGGUACGUCCGACACAACCUGCGAGCUCCCUGUGGGCCCGCGUGGCCUGUGUCCCUGCAGCCUCACUCACGCAGCGUUCUGGUCCUGUUUGCCUUUAGUGUCCUGCCUCUUGGUGUUACUGCGUGUUUGUUUCCUGGAGAGCUUCAGCACUGGGGGUGCUGCUCUCCUCAUGCCCCCCUGGUGGACCGAGGUGGCCAUGGGCUACAAACGCCUGUGCACAGCGGGUGGCCUUGAGCCUGUGCUGGGGCGGACGCUUUCCCCAGUCUAGUGUUUCCGACUGUUAUUUUUAGUCCUAGAAAUGCAACUUUCCAACUAGUCAAAUUUGUUGAACUUUUACUUGAUUAUAUUUUCACAUCCUUCAGUCCGUGGAAAGCAAGUGUGGUCUACAUUUGGGGUAGAUGUUCUCUUUUGUUCUCUCCUCGCUUUCCCGGGGCUUGCUUUUCACGCGGUGUUCUCUUAACCCAGACGCCUGUUGCGCUGGUCCCCACGUUUCUUCCCAGAUGCCCUGGGCAUCUGUCAGUGCUUCCUUGUCCUGCUGCCUCUGGAUCUUGUUUUCUCCUGCAAUAACCAUCUGUUCUGACCUGUUCACUGCAUUCAGCUGCUCUCCCCACAGUCAAGAGUCCCCAGGGAGGUGCCACUGCCUCAAGGGAGAGACCAUCUCCCGGCUCAAGGUCUGGCCCAGGCCUGCAGAGCCAGAGACCCAGCUGGUCACUGCCUCUGGAUGUGUCUCUUGGGGGCCACCUCAUCUUAACCAAACUUGUAAGAGACCAACACACAAAUCAGAAAAGGAAUGUGCUAACUUAGGAUGGGCAUGACCCCUUGCUUCAGCAAAAUACCGUGUCCCUCAAUAGACACCCCCUCUCUGAGCCUGGAUACAGGUUCCCCUGCUAUCCAAAAGCAGAGCGUUCCUGUGACACCUUCCAAGGCCGAAAUGGCAUAAAGCGAAGAGGCACUUAGUUACCUUGUUAGGACACGUGUUGCUCACGGCGCACAAGGCAAAUCGAGACGAAGCGCAGACGCCCCCAGACGCGGUUCGCAGCCUGGCCGCUUGGUGCUGAGUGUAGUCCCUUAGGAGCCCGGCAGGGGCCGCUCUCGCUGCCUCGGUUGCAGCUGCUGCAGAACAAAUGCUGAGCGCUGUUUUCACUUUUUGCCUUUAUUCAAAACAAGCUAAAAUCCUGUUUGGAUUUGUUGGAAAACAGGUACUAAUGUAGGUCUCUUGUAAAAGCAAAGUGGUGUAAAGAGAACUUUCAAAAAGCAGGGGACAUUUUUACCUGGGAAACAAAGUUAGGCCCUGUCGUUGCUUCAUGCCUACAGUGUGACGUGACCUUGCCUGCCCCCAGACCCUGUCAGCACCCCGUUCAGGUCCCGAGCUCUGACGCGCUCUGUCAGUCCUUCCCUCUGUGCCCCUGCUCACUUUGCCUCUGUUAGAGCAGAUGUUCUCACGAGGGGCGAUUCUGCCCUCAGGAGGUGACGUUGGCAACACCUGGGGACAUUUUUUUGGUUGUCCCAACUGAGGGGAGGUACUAUUGUCAGUUGCGGGGGGCAGGGAAGCUGUUCAGCGUCCUAAAGAGCCCAGGAUGCUGAGGGUGGGGACCCGAGUUAGAUCCGUGACUUAGGCGAAGGGCCAAAGAGAAGAUUCACGAGGCCGGAGAGAGAAGAGUAAGCGCUGUCGGCUGGAGGUUUCAGAAGCUGGAAAAUGAGGAAAAGCAGCUUUCGGCAGAAGCCUACACACUUGACAAGGUGCACGUCCAGGCUGAGAAGGCUGGCAGGGCCUGGGGAUGGGGGCGCGGGUAACCCUGACAGUGGGGCAGAGGUGGGAAGAAAAAUUGUGAUUGGCUAAAAGUCUCCAUGGGAGUAAUUAGAACCCCUCAGGUCUGUCCACCCUCAUGGGAAACAGAAGGCUGCCCCCAUCCCUCUGAAACUGAACCAGCGGGACAGACUGAAGACGAGAAAGGGUGAAAGUCCGGCCCACGGCCACCGCUGUCCACCAUCGGGGAGGACACAUCCAAGGAGAAUUAGGUUGUGUGCAUUUUCAUCACAACCCCCCUCCUCUCCCCUGCCAUCUCCCCGUCUCCCUCCUGCCUGAACCCCGAGGUGUCCUCUUGCCCCGCCCAUAGCCCCCGAGGUCACCAAGGCACCGGUCCGCCGGGGACCUAGAGCGUCCCGGAAGUGCGCGAGGCCGGGCGGGCGGG